rnacentral:rRNA from 1 species
ACAGGGAGACAGGUGGUGCAUGGUUGGUCGUCAGCUCGUGUCGUGAGAUGUUGGUUAAGUCCGCAACGAGCGCAACCCCUGUGGUUAGUUGCCAUCAUUCAGUUGGGCACUCUAAGCAGACUGCCGUGGAUAACACGGAGGAAGGUGGGGACGACGUCAAAUCAUCAUGCCCCUUAUGACCUGGGCUACACACGUGCUACAAUGGUCUGAACAGAGGGCUGCGAAACCGCGAGGUGAAGCUAAUCCCUUAAAACAGAUCUCAGUUCGGAUUGCAGGCUGCAACUCGCCUGCAUGAAGUUGGAGUUGCUAGUAAUCGCAGAUCAGAAUGCUGCGGUGAAUGCGUUCCCGGGGCUU